CUGCCACAUUAGUGCUGGGAGCUGAACCACCCUCAGAAGGACCAUCAAGUGCCCUUAACCACUGAGCAUCUCUCCACCCCAGAGUGAUUAAAUCUUAAGAGCAAUCUGGGAGGAAGCACACCGGAGCUAUUGAAGAGCAAAGGGACAUAACACCUUACCUUUGCCUAACUCACUCUGAUAUGUAGGCUGCCGUGGUCAAGAGGCUGAGUUUUGGGCCACGGGGUACAGGGGAUACAAACUCCUACCCAAUCCAGCCACUGUCACUUUUGUUGCCACUGGGGACUGCAUUAAUGCAGCUCAGGAGACAUUCCAACUCAAGGGUUCAUCCAAGUUUUACCAUUCCUCUACGGAUUCCUCUGGGUCACACAUGGUAUUAGCAAAGCAAGCCCCUGAAACAGUCCCUUCAAUGCAGGGUUCGUCCAACACUCAUGCAUUGGUAAGGGAAUGUCUAUGGACCUGGUAGUUUAUGAGACCUCAAAGAUCUGCAUGUCCCCAAAUAUGCUAUUUUUUUUCCCAAAUAUGCUAUUCUUGACCAGUUGCUAAAAUUAAACCAUUUGGUUAGUUUGA